rnacentral:lncRNA from 1 species
UCCUAUUGGUACCCUUUAGCCAAAAUCGCUUCCCCUUAUUCUUCAUUUUUCCUCGGACAAUGAAUCUAUUUAGUCAUGGCACAAAAACAAUAUGAAUUAUUUUUCUUGUAAGAAUUAACUAAAUUAACAUAAGGGAACCAUGAAUGAAGUUGAAAGGCACAUAAAAUUGAGAUUUUUUUGCUAAGUCUCAACAAUAAUGCAAAGAUAUUCUGACUUUCUAACUAUUGCACUUCUUCAAAUAGCUGGUGUGUGUUAAAAAUAUAAACAUAAGAUAAAUGUAAAGAAUCAUAACCAUAAUACAAAAUACAGAAAAUAUAUAGUUUAUACAUAAUUCUAUCAUUGUGACACUCCUAUUAUGUGUUAUCAUGUUAUGUGAUGCUCUUCUUUUAAGACAAAAUUUCAACAUUUUGCUUGUUCACAUGAUAAGUCAAAUGUAAUAGUGAGAUGAUUAAAGAAAGUAAGCUCACGAAAUAUCAUGUCUUCACAUAUAGGCUCUUUCUUAUAUAUUAUUUUUACAUCUUCCGCUACCUACUCCAUGUAAACAUAGUAAGAUGACAUUAGAUGCACUCACGAAAAAUGGUUAAUAGGACAGAAGGUGUGAUAGAUAAACUUUAGGGUAGAACUUCCUAUUACCACAGAAUACCAGCAAUCCAUUCCUAUGAUCUCACACAACAACUUUAGAAUGCCUAAUUUAAAAAAUAAAUAAAAGAAUAAUUUGUACUUGAUGCAUAUCGUCAAAAACUUUGCUGCAUCAAAGUUCUUUUCUUUUCAUUUAUAUUUUAUCCUUUCUGAUUUAAUCAAUCAAAGUUAGUUCUGAAGAAGAGUUUAAACAAUCAACUACAACCAUGUAGUACAAAAUUCACUAAGAAAAAGUACAGAGAAAAGAUAAGGAAGAAAAAUGCAAAAGAAUGGACACAAAUAAGAUUUUCUUAAAAAGAUAGAAUCACAUGUUUAUAUGCCCUCUAAUUUUUUGGUCCAUCAAAGCAAUGGAAGGGUUUUGAAAACACAAAGUUAAAUCAUGAAUUACUUAAUGAAUAUAGUAGUACCAAACUGAUGUUAGUAACAGCAGCCAACAACUAUUACAAACAUACAAAAAAGAUAAAUCAUGUUCUAUAUGCAUAUAUUUUUCCACUUAUCAAGUAGAAACCAAAAUUACAUCAAACAUAAGGAGAAAGCCUAAAAUAAAAUUCAAACUGAAAAAGAUUUGAGCAUAAGAUAGAAGAAAAGGAACCUGAAAUUUGGCCUCGACACCCACUGUGCACAAACAAAGUUAGAGUUGGUUUUGCGAUAUACUUGUAUCAAAGUAAGAAAACUAUGACGCACUUUGUUGAAAUUCUCAAGAGAUGUAAGAGAGGCAUGAGAAAUCCAAAGAGUAAAAAAUGGAAGAGAAAAGUACCUUUUACAAAGAAUAUUUUUAGGGCACUAUUAGGCAUGUUACAUUAACCGCAAUACAACAGAUCCUCAAUUUCUGCAUUUAUCAACAUAAAAAUAGUUCCUUGAGUAUCUUAAAUAAGGCAAAUUUUAAAAAACUAAAUAUACAGGCUCUUUUUCGAAACAUAGUAUCAUGAUGAUCAAUUGAGUUCCCUAUUAGCAUUGUACUUGUAAGUCUGAACUUUUAUUAGUGGCAAUAAAUUAACCAAAAAUCAGUAAGUGGACAAAGAAUUAGAAUUAAAAUUUUCAACUAACUACAUUGGACGAAAACGAAAAUCAGAUAAAAAGAAAGGACAAAGAGAAUUCAACCACUACUCACCCACUUACCAAUAGUAAGCACCCGCUUAUAACAUCAAAGAUCCAUCUACCAAAUAUGAUCACAAAUCCAAAUUUAUUCAAAAAUAGAAUAAGACGGGGAGAAUUAAGAAAGAGAAGUAAACAUCAGGAGAUGAAAGCAGAAAAAUGUGGUAAUAGUAGUAAUAAACGGAGAAAUAAGAACUUAGGAUGGAGAAACUUGUACACUUUUGUCCUAAUUUCUCUUUCAAUACAAAAAAUCAAAGCUUUAUAAACCCAUAAAAUAGAGUUUUUCAGUUGCAUGAG